UAGCACAGAUAUAGGUGUGAAGUUUUUUGCAGGAGUGGUGGGUGAAAUUCUGUGGCCUGCGUUGUGCAGGAGGUCAGACUAGAUGAUCAUAAUGGUCCCUUCUGACCUAAAUAUCUAUGAAUGAAUGAAUCUAUGAAUUGCUUUUUAAGGGGAUCUCUUGCCAGGUGAG